rnacentral:rRNA from 1 species
AGUGAACGCUGGCGGUAGGCCUAACACAUGCAAGUCGAACGGCAGCACAGUAAGAGCUUGCUCUUACGGGUGGCGAGUGGCGGACGGGUGAGGAAUACAUCGGAAUCUACUUUUUCGUGGGGGAUAACGUAGGGAAACUUACGCUAAUACCGCAUACGACCUACGGGUGAAAGCAGGGGCUCUUCGGACCUUGCGCGAUUGAAUGAGCCGAUGUCGGAUUAGCUAGUUGGCGGGGUAAAGGCCCACCAAGGCGACGAUCCGUAGCUGGUCUGAGAGGAUGAUCAGCCACACUGGAACUGAGACACGGUCCAGACUCCUACGGGAGGCAGCAGUGGGGAAUAUUGGACAAUGGGCGAAAGCCUGAUCCAGCCAUACCGCGUGGGUGAAGAAGGCCUUCGGGUUGUAAAGCCCUUUUGUUGGGAAAGAAAAGCAGCAGGUUAAUACCCCGCUGUUCUGACGGUACCCAAAGAAUAAGCACCGGCUAACUUCGUG